GCCAGAAUGGUGUAAUGGCUUGAGUACUGAACUAUAACUCUGGAGAUCAGGGUUCAAUUCCCUGUUCUGUCA